rnacentral:tRNA from 1 species
GCUGUGUUGGUCAAGAGGUCAAGACACUGGCGGAGACAGUAUGGUGUAAACAUGAAAAGCACACUACCAGGGGCAUAGGUUCAAAUCCUGUACAUGGCA